rnacentral:piRNA from 1 species
UGGUUAUACUCUUAAAACCUCAUUAUCAUGCC